rnacentral:rRNA from 1 species
UACGUAGGGUGCAAGCGUUGUCCGGAAUUAUUGGGCGUAAAGGGCCCGUAGGCGCCUGCCGCGUCGGCUGUGAAAUCCCGGGGCUCAACUCCGGAACUGCAGUCGAUACGGGCAGGCUAGAGUUCGGCAGGGGAGACUGGAAUUCCUGGUGUAGCGGUGAAAUGCGCAGAUAUCAGGAGGAACACCGGUGGCGAAGGCGGGUCUCUGGGCCGAUACUGACGCUGAGGUGCGAAAGCGUGGGGAGCAAACAGG